UUUCCGUAGGUGAACCUGUGGAAGGAUCAUUCAUAAUAAGUGUUUUAUGGCACUUUUUUAAAUCCAUAUCCACCUUGUGUGCAAUGUCAGGGUUGAUUCUUCUCUCGAGAGGAUCAACCCCAAACAUCAACUAUAUCUCAACUCUUUGUCUGAAAAAUAUUAUGAAUAAAACAAUUCAGAAUACAACUUUCAACAACGGAUCUCUUGGCUCUC
rnacentral:misc_RNA from 1 species